rnacentral:misc_RNA from 1 species
GAUGAAGAACGUAGCGAAAUGCGAUAAGUAGUGUGAAUUGCAGAAUUCAGUGAAUCAUCGAAUCUUUGAACGCACAUUGCGCCUCCUGGCAUUCCGGGAGGCAUGCCUGUUCGAGCGUCAUCAAACCCCAUCGUGCAAAUGAAUUAUUUUUUUUGCGCGGAAGUGACGAUUGAGCGAGAAUAACAAAUCCUCUCGCACCUCGUCGAAAUGAUUGCGGGCGGAAUUUGGGAUCGGGUUCCUCGGCGGAGUGUAUCAAUGCAUAUUUAUGCAACUUGCCGCGGAGUUGAGCCUGACCCACGCGUUCUCGCCGUACAAACACCUCAUUACUUUACAAGUUUUUGACCUCGGAUCAGGUAGGGAUACCCGCUGAACUUAAGCAUAUCAAUAAGCGGAGGA